rnacentral:ncRNA from 1 species
AAAUUUAAAAGCGCCAGGACUUGGAAAAAUUAAUUUUGUUAAUAGGUGGAUAUGCUAGGCUGUGUUUACAUUAGAGUUAAAAUAGCAACAUUCAUUUAUGAGAAAUUUUAAAAUUUUCAAGUUGACGAGGAUGGGGAGUAUCGAAUCUUCGGCGGGUGCCCCACGGUAUCGCACUACCGUUAAAGAUUGAUAAAAGCAAAAAGCGAUUUUUGUCACAAUAU